rnacentral:rRNA from 1 species
AACGAACGCUGGCGGCAUGCCUAACACAUGCAAGUCGAACGAGACCUUCGGGUCUAGUGGCGCACGGGUGCGUAACGCGUGGGAAUCUGCCCUUGGGUUCGGAAUAACAGUUAGAAAUGACUGCUAAUACCGGAUAAUGUCUUCGGACCAAAGAUUUAUCGCCCAGGGAUGAGCCCGCGUAGGAUUAGCUAGUUGGUGAGGUAAAGGCUCACCAAGGCGACGAUCCUUAGCUGGUCUGAGAGGAUGAUCAGCCACACUGGGACUGAGACACGGCCCAGACUCCUACGGAGGCAGCAGUGGGGAAUAUUGGACAAUGGGCGAAAGCCUGAUCCAGCAAUGCCGCGUGAGUGAUGAAGGCCUUAGGGUUGUAAAGCUCUUUUACCCGGGAUGAUAAUGACAGUACCGGAGAAUAAGCCCCGGCUAACUCCGUGCCAGCAGCCGC